AAAUUGAAGAGUUUGAUCAUGGCUCAGAUUGAACGCUGGCGGCAGGCCUAACACAUGCAAGUCGAGCGGAAACGAGUUGUCUGAACCUUCGGGGGACGAUAACGGCGUCGAGCGGCGGACGGGUGAGUAAUGCCUAGGAAAUUGCCCUGAUGUGGGGGAUAACCAUUGGAAACGAUGGCUAAUACCGCAUGAUGCCUACGGGCCAAAGAGGGGGACCUUCGGGCCUCUCGCGUCAGGAUAUGCCUAGGUGGGAUUAGCUAGUUGGUGAGGUAAGGGCUCACCAAGGCGACGAUCCCUAGCUGGUCUGAGAGGAUGAUCAGCCACACUGGAACUGAGACACGGUCCAGACUCCUACGGGAGGCAGCAGUGGGGAAUAUUGCACAAUGGGCGCAAGCCUGAUGCAGCCAUGCCGCGUGUGUGAAGAAGGCCUUCGGGUUGUAAAGCACUUUCAGUCGUGAGGAAGGCGGUGUAGUUAA
rnacentral:rRNA from 1 species